rnacentral:rRNA from 1 species
UACGUAGGGGGCGAGCGUUAAUCGGAAUUACUGGGCGUAAAGGGUGCGCAGGCGGCCGAGCAAGUCGAGUGUGAAAGCCCCGAGCUUAACUUGGGAACUGCGCUCGAAACUACUUGGCUAGAGUGUGGCAGAGGGAGGUGGAAUUCCACGUGUAGCGGUGAAAUGCGUAGAGAUGUGGAGGAACACCGAUGGCGAAGGCAGCCUCCUGGGCCAACACUGACGCUCAUGCACGAAAGCGUGGGGAGCAAACAGG